rnacentral:rRNA from 1 species
GUUGACCUCGGAUCAGGUAGGAAUACCCGCUGAACUUAAGCAUAUCAAUAGGAGGGAAGAAA